UGCCAUGUUGUAAGGACACUCAAGCGUCUCAUGGAGAGGUCCAUAUGGCAAAGACCUGAGCCCUCCUGCCAGCAGCCAGCACCAGUCUGCCAGCCACGUGAACAAGCUGUCUUCCCCAAUCAGAAAGAAGAAGCUGGGAGUAAAAAUCUUGCCAAGCAGAGAAGGCACCAAGUUACCAGUCACUCACUCACCUCAGGCCUCCUCCUCUGGCUCCCUUAUUUUGGAGCUUAGGUUUGCAAUAAUUGUUUUAUACAGAAGAACAAAACAUGCUCCUUUUAAAAAUCA